rnacentral:rRNA from 1 species
GACGAACGCUGGCGGCGUGCUUAACACAUGCAAGUCGAACGGAAAGGCCCUGCUUUUGUGGGGUGCUCGAGUGGCGAACGGGUGAGUAACACGUGAGUAACCUGCCCUUGACUUUGGGAUAACUUCAGGAAACUGGGGCUAAUACCGGAUAGGAGCUCCUGCUGCAUGGUGGUGGUUGGAAAGUUUCGGCGGUUGGGGAUGGACUCGCGGCUUAUCAGCUUGUUGGUGGGGUAGUGGCUUACCAAGGCUUUGACGGGUAGCCGGCCUGAGAGGGUGACCGGCCACAUUGGGACUGAGAUACGGCGCAGACGCCUACGGGAGGCAGCAGUGGGGAAUAUUGCACAAUGGGCGGAAGCCUGAUGCAGCAACGCCGCGUGCGGGAUGACGGCCUUCGGGUUGUAAACCGCUUUCGCCUGUGACGAAGCGUGAGUGACGGUAAUGGGUAAAGAAGCACCGGCUAACUACGUG